rnacentral:rRNA from 1 species
AAGAAUACAUGAUUCCCUAGUAACGGCGAGUGAAGAGGGAAAAGCUCAAAGUUGGAACCUGGUAGGCAUAGCUUACCCGGAUUGUAAACUAAAGUUUUCGAGUCGUUUAGUCAGCCAGGUAAAUAAGUCCUCUGGAAAGGGGCGACAUAGAGGGUGAAAUCCCCGUCUUUGGCCUGAGUUUUGAUUAGGCGUUUGGCUUGGAAACGAAGAGUCAGGUUGUUUGGGAAUGCAGCCUAAAAUGGGAGGUAAAUCUCUCCUAAAGCUAAAUAUUGACGAAAGACCGAUAGCGAACAAGUACCGUGAGGGAAAGAUGAAAAGCACUUUGAAAAGAGGGUCAAAAAGUACGUGAAAUUGCUGAAAGGGAACCGUAUGAAAUCAGAUCUACUGGUAGGUAAUCAAUCUUUCCUUUGGGAAGGAUGCACUUGCCUACUAUGUAUGCCAGCGACAUUUUGGUUGGGAGGAAAAAAAUAAAGGAAAUGUAGCUUAGGUUUCGGCUUAGGUGUUAUAGUCCUUUAUAAAAUACUCUCGGCUGGAAUGAGGAACGCAGCAAACCGUAAGGCGAAGAUUUCAGGCGCUUAGAGAGAAUAAUUAGAGAAUUUCUGCUUCGGGUGGUGCUUUGAUUAUUACCUUUAACACGCUUGGAGUUCUUUUAAUUUGCUUAGGUUGUUGGCUUAAUGAUUUUAUAUGACCCGUCUUGAAACACGGACCAAGGAGUCCACCAUAGGCGCGAGUCUUUGGGUGUAAAAACCCAUGGGCGGAAGGAAAUUGACUAAGAUACCAAGGCGCAAGCUGGCAGUAUCCCCCGGCGUAGACGUUUUUAUACUGAAAUGACUGAGGGCAAGCGCUUAUGAUGGGACCCGAAAGAUGGUGAACUAUACUUGAAUAGGGUAAAGCCAGAGGAAACUCUGGUGGAAGCUCGCAGCGAUUCUGACGUGCAAAUCGAUCGUCAAAU